AGUGAACGCUGGCGGUAGGCCUAACACAUGCAAGUCGAACGGCAGCACAGGAGAGCUUGCUCUCUGGGUGGCGAGUGGCGGACGGGUGAGGAAUACAUCGGAAUCUACUCUGUCGUGGGGGAUAACGUAGGGAAACUUACGCUAAUACCGCAUACGACCCACGGGUGAAAGCAAGGGACCUUCGGGCCUUGCGCGAUUGAAUGAGCCGAUGUCGGAUUACCUAGUUGGCGGGGUAAAGGCCCACCAAGGCGACGAUCCGUAGCUGGUAUGAGGGGAGGGUCGGCCAGACUGGGACUGAGACACGGUCCAGACUCCUACGGGAGGCAGCAGUGGGGAAUAUUGGACAAUGGGCGCAAGCCUGAUCCAGCCAUACCGCGUGGGUGAAGAAGGCCUUCGGGUUGUAAAGCCCUUUUGUUGGGAAAGAAAUCCAGCUGGCUAAUACCCGGUUGGGAUGACGGUACCCAAAGCAUAAGCACCGGCUAACUUCGUGCCAGCCGCCGCCGUAA
rnacentral:rRNA from 1 species